GUUUCGAUAUUUAACAGAUUUUUUGAAGUCAGAUUUUUCGACUUUUUACCUUAAUAAGGUGUUAAAUACUCUCAACACAUGCCAAACAAAUAUUCACAUUACUUAUAUGAUAUAAAAUGUAGUUUAGUUUCGUUAUUUUUCCAUGUGAAAGUCUGACUGUCCUCAACCUGUGUUUGAGAUUUUUGCAUUGAAGUUGCUGUCUUAAAGAUUUUCUGUAACCGGCCAGAAAUUGGCCCGAAAUUUAUGAGCUUUGUGUUGGCUAAGUGUCCUUGCGGGACUUCACACAUAAAAAGGCCGACAUCUUUGCACUUUAUUUCCAUUCAGAGCCUAUAGCUCGAGCUUAUUUGAUUUUGGGCUUCCCCACUUCUUCCCCUGCAAAGUUUUCUCUCGUUCAACUCAUAAAUAUUGAAGAGGCACAGAAACUUGUUACCUCCUAGGGCCAGAACUUGAGGCUCAUCUGUUCAUUGGUUACAGGGCCAGAUAUUAGUGCAAUUUCCACGUUGACCAAAAGUUCAAUUCAUUUUGUACAGGGACGUGUCGCUGCUCCCCAACUGUUUUCAUAAGAAUUUAUUGCUUUCUCUUGGCAACUAAGUGGAUCAGAUUUCUCUUGGCAACUUUCGCCUGUGUCCCGUGUAAUAUGCCACAGAUUUGGUGAUGCCGAAAUUACUUUAGAUUUCUUUGCCUCCAUUCUAGGACCCUUUGCUUGCCUCUCGAUUCCCUGUUUUUUUUACAAUUUUGUCGUAUUAGAUUGAAAAUUGAGUUGGGUAUUUUGGGGGCUAAAUGUCCGAACGAAGGAAGUGGCGGGCGUCCGCAGACUGACAGUUGGAAUCUCACUCAGGUGAGAUUUUCUUCCGGCCAAAUGGUUCUCUUUCGAUAACCGAAAUGAAGGAGUUCUUUAGAGUAACAAAAGAGAAAGGCAUCUUUAAAGUAUACAAAUACAAGUGCAUUUCAGUAAAACAAGAAGUGCAGCCAAAGGUUCCUUAAAUUCUUCCAUCCUUAAUAUGGGAAAUUAUUCAAAUGCCAGAAUAUUAUCAGCAUUCAACAAUCUCUGGCUCCCUCUCCAUUUGGUGACCACCCAAAAUGUACGGCCAUUCUGCACUUAUUCAUUUAGAAUUGGCAACUAGCGUUGUCUGUAUCCUUGUGUCGUAAUUAAAUUUAUUUCACUUGUGCACAGUUUGUUUGAUGUUGAGUGGAUGCAAUUCGGUGGCUUUUUCGGUUUUCACAGUGCAUGCAGUGCCGAAUGAAAAUGUAUACCCAAGUUUUGUGUGUAUCUGCGAGAGUGUUGUCCUAAAAGUAUGUAUUGAUUUUCAGCCUGUCAGCACAGCGAAAAUAUUUAUUGUCAGCUCAGGGGAGCUGAGCUGAGUCCUCGGAUGCCAGCCAAGUUUCGCUCAAAUUGUUCCCUGGCGGCAAUUGAGGCCGUUGAUGAAAUGGAAUGGAACGAAGCAGCAGGGCCUGAGGUAUGGAGACUCCUCAGGCAUCCAUCCUCCCAAGCUCCUCGACUCUGUCAGCAUCGGGAAAUCGAGAAUUAUUAACAACUAGUGCGUUGAUGGGCUCAUAAUUACGGCCGUGUCCUUGCUAGCACACUCGCACUCUCACAUCCUGGGUGCUGACAUGCAUUAAAAUUGAUUGCUGAUGUCGCUGAACCGCACUAAUCAGAGCCACAUGUCGGUGGCCGAGUAUUGUGAAUUCUGUGCUCUGUACAUUGACAUUGACACGGGCAUCCUCGUUUGCAUGGUAUUUUACAAUUAUCCGCAUCCUUGUCCGCAGCACCGUCAUCAUCGCCGUCACCAUCAUCCAUUGUCAUGGUCGGCGCAAUGAAAUUACAUAUUACAUAUCGCAUUUACAUUGCUGUCAUGUAGUUCUCCACUUGAUUCAGUUGUUAAGUUUUUCACGCAUGUUCGUUUCGCAACCUUGCUAAAUGAGACAAACCUCAUAUUCAGCUUGUCAGACAGGUUUUAAUUUCGUCAUGUUGAGGAACCCAAAAUGCAGGAGCCACGAAUAGUGAUUACAUCAAAUCUCCUCAGUUUAAGACAAGAAAGUAUGUAUUUCUAAGAUAUUUACUAAUAGAUUUGAUGAAGUGUACACCUUUUAUCCGAAAAACAUUGUGAAUUUCACAAUACUUUUCCACUUUUUAAUUAGAAUUGCACGGUUUAUUAAGUCUUGGCGGAACUAAUUGAUAAGUUCUGCUCGCCAGCAAAGGGCUUUACCAGUCAAUUUGCGUUGAUAAGAAGGCCCCAGGGGCACACAGGUCCCUAUUCAGAUAUGCCAUUUGAAUACUUUCUGUUUUGACAUUCAUUUGCGAAAGUCCACAGAAAGCGUUUGCAAUUUGCCGAGGCAUUGCGCAACUGGGGAGCAAGCGAACUUGGAGAAGUUUUAAUGAGUUGGCAAAUGGAAUUGGCAAUCCGUAGUGGGUGCUCGACACUUGAAGCAUGAAAUCAAACUAAUUAACUCAAAAUUUUACAUAAACGCCGAGAAAAGUUGCGCCAUUCAUGUGAUUUUGCGCUCUCUGCACAUGAUGGCAUUAAGAAUAAACACAAGUUGGAUUGAAUUUCUGGCCAUCAUGAGGAUAAUCCGAUAUCAGCAGCACCGCGUUGAAAGAUAAUUCAGUUUGCCGGCAUGAUGAACAAAUUAAAAACUUUUCUUUUUCAUCCGUGAAGAAGAUGGUUUUUCCACCAA